AGGGAAUCUUCCGCAAUGGACGAAAGUCUGACGGAGCAACGCCGCGUGAGUGAAGAAGGCCUUCGGGUCGUAAAACUCUGUUGCCGGGGAAGAACAAGUGCCGUUCGAACAGGGCGGCGCCUUGACGGUACCCGGCCAGAAAGCCACGGCUAACUACGUGCCAGCAGCCGCGGUAAUACGUAGGUGGCAAGCGUUGUCCGGAAUUAUUGGGCGUAAAGCGCGCGCAGGCGGUCUUUUAAGUCUGAUGUGAAAUCUUGCGGCUCAACCGCAAGCGGUCAUUGGAAACUGGGAGGCUUGAGUGCAGAAGAGGAGAGUGGAAUUCCACGUGUAGCGGUGAAAUGCGUAGAGAUGUGGAGGAACACCAGUGGCGAAGGCGACUCUCUGGGCUGUAACUGACGCUGAGGCGCGAAAGCGUGGGGAGCAAAC
rnacentral:rRNA from 1 species